rnacentral:lncRNA from 1 species
AAUUGCUCUCGGACGCUGGCGCUGGCAAGAGUCUGUGAAAAUAUAUAUAACAUUACUAAUAAUAAUUUAUAUUAUGUUAAUUAUGAUAAUUUCGUGAAAUAAAAAAAAUAUUAUUACCUUCAUUUACCUUUAUUUUAUUUUAUUUAUUUGUAAUGCAUUAUAUUAUAUUAUUUAUUUUCAUUAAUUUAUUUUAUUUUUGGACAAUUUAUUUUAUUUAAAUAAUUUUUUGAUGUUAAUUUAUUUUAUUUUAACAGAUUUGAUGUUAAAUAUAUGAAUUGAUUUUAUUAUGUAUUAUAUUAUAUUAUAAUUUUUAAUUUUUUUAAUUUUUAUUUAUUAAAUUUAUUUUUAUUAUAAUUUUUUAUUUUUAUUAAAUUAAAUUAAAUUUAUUUUACGUUAUUAUAUUAUUUGAUUUAUUAUUAAAUUUAUUUGACAUUAUUAUAUUAUUUGAUCUAUUAUUAAAUUUUUUAUUAUAUUAUUAAAUUUAAUUUAAUCUAUUAUUAAAUUUAUUUUAUUUAUUAAAUUUAAUUCUUUUUAUUAUUAUGUUUUAUUGUAUUGUAUUGUAUUUUGUAUUAUAUUAUAUAUAUUUUUAAUUUUUUAUUAAAUAUAAUAUACUUUAAAUUAAAUUUAUUUUAUUUUAUUUUAUAUAUUUAAUUAUUAUUUUCUAUUUUAUUUUGUAUUAUAUUGUAUUAAUUAUCUAAUUUUUAAAUUUUAUUUUAUUUUAUUAAAUUUAAUUUAUUAGUAGGAAACUAAGUAUAGGCUACUUAAUUUAUUUCUAUAUUGGAAACUAAUUAAAAUACAUAAAUAAAAUAAAGCUGGACCCACAGAUUUUGCAAUUGAAUAAUUCUAACAGAAUUUUCAUCGGAAAUUCCGUCGUAAAAAAAAAAAAUCAAUCAAAAGAGACAAAAUCAUCUCAAUCCCUAAUUCAUAAGGGCGAUGAUCAAAAUAUUAACUUCAAUUCCUAAUUCACAAGGGUAGUGACAAAAAUCAUCUCAAUUUCUAAUUCACAAGGACAUCAAAUAUAUUACUCUCAAUAGAAUUUUGUUACUCUCAAUAGAAUUCACAAAAUCAGUCCCAAAAUGAUCUGACAAUCCCAAUUCAAAAUUAUACAGUUAAUUCACAAAGGGCAAUGACCUGAAUAUUUUCAGUAGCAAAUUUUCAGUGACCAAAUCAAUUCCUAAUUCUCAAUAGCCAAUUCAAAGAAAUUUUUAGACCCAAUUCAAAGCAAUUUUCAGACUUAUUUUCAAUUCCUAAUUCUCAAUAAUUCUCAGAGCAAUUCAAAGCAAUUUUCAGACCCAUUUUCAAAGAAAUUAUAUCAAAAUUAUUUUAAUUUAAUGAUUAAGCCCUAAAAAAUCCUAACUAAAGAGAAAUUAGACAAUGGGGUGUACAUGUAUACUUGAGAAAUUGAUGGUGGCGCGAUGAUUGGAUCGCGACAAACUGGUGGUGGCCUUCUCGUGAGGCAGUGAGGUGGCCAGAGUCGGCAAAGUGGUGGCAGCAGCGCGAGGUGGUGGCACGAGGUACGAGAAGAUUACAGAAGCAGGGUGGUGAUUGAGGGGAGAGAGAGCGGAAUGGAGUGUGAGAUAAUGAGAGAGUGGAGAGUUGUGAGGAGAGAGAGCUACUGUAAGAAGAGAGAGAGAGAGGGAGAGAGUUAGGAAAAUAAUGAGGCGCCUGACACGAAAUGUG